UUGUCCAGGAUCCGCUCCAUCAAAACUAUCAUUGCAUAGAUGAACAAAAUGAUAGAGAAAUUGGUUCUCUUUUCCAGGUUGAACUAAGGGAA